rnacentral:rRNA from 1 species
CUACGGGUGGCAGCAGUGAGGAAUAUUGCACAAUGGGGGGAACCCUGAUGCAGCAACGCCGCGUGGAGGAUGACGCAUUUCGGUGUGUAAACUCCUUUUAUAUGUCAAGAAAAUGACGGUAGCAUAUGAAUAAGCACCGGCUAACUCCGUGCCAGCAGCCGCGGUAAUACGGAGGGUGCAAGCGUUACUCGGAAUCACUGGGCGUAAAGGACGCGUAGGCGGGUUGGAAAGUCAGGUGUGAAAUCCUACAGCUUAACUGUAGAACUGCACUUGAAACUUCUAAUCUAGAGUAUGGGAGGGGGAGAUGGAAUUAGUGGUGUAGGGGUAAUAUCCGUAGAUAUCACUAGGAAUACCUAAAGCGAAGGCGAUCUCCUGGAACAUUACUGACGCUAAGGCGUGAAAGCGUGGGGAGCAAACAGGAUUAAAUACCCUGGUAGUC